UUUCCGUGGGUGAACCUGCGGAAGGAUCAUUCAUAAUAAAGUGUUUUAUGGCACUUUUUAAAAAUCCAUAUCCACCUUGUGUGCAAUGUUGGAUCUCGUCAAUCUUGGCGAGAUUUUUAUACAUCAACUCAUUCUUUAACUAAUUUGUCUGAAAAAUAUUAUGAAUACUUAAUUCAAAAUACAACUUUCAACAACGGAUCUCUUGGCUCUC
rnacentral:misc_RNA from 1 species